GGAGAGAUGCUCGAGUGGUUUAAGAGGCACGCCUGGAAAGUGUGUAAACCGGAAACGGUUUCGCGGGUUCGAAUCCCGCUUUCUCCG
rnacentral:tRNA from 1 species